AAUAAGGGUCGGUUGGCUAAAAUGUCACGCCAGUCCUAGUUAGGGGGUGCUGUAUGGUUAUCAAAACAUAUGGCCGACAUAAUUUGUGGGACUUUAUAGGGUUGACUCGGCUCGCUUCGGCUGACCCUUUA